AUACUACUCCCUCCGUUCCGAAUUACUUGUCGCAGAAAUGGAUGUAUCUAGAACUAAAAAAUGUCUAGAUACAUCCAUUUCUAAGACAAGUAAUUCCGAACGGAGGGAGUAAUAG
rnacentral:pre_miRNA from 1 species